AUGACUCNAUCAGAUGAGACUACCCGCUGAACUUAAGCAUAUC
rnacentral:rRNA from 1 species